AGUCAACGAGAAUUUAUCUUCGGAUAAUAGUAAAGUGGCGAACGGGUGAGUAACGCGUAAAUAACUUGCCUUGGAGAUUGGGACAACAUUGGGAAACCAGUGCUAAUACCAAAUAAUGCAGCGGGCCCUUUGGGGCAUAGUUGUUAAAGUAGGCUUCGGCUUACACUUCAAGAUAGAUUUGCGUCCGAUUAGUUAGUUGGUAGGGUAAUAGCCUACCAAGACCGAGAUCGGUAGCUGGUCUGAGAGGAUGAUCAGCCACACUGGAAUUGAGAUACGGUCCAGACUCCUACGGGAGGCAGCAGUGAGGAAUUUUGCACAAUGGGCGAAAGCCUGAUGCAGCAACACCGCGUGAUUGAUGAAGUUUUUAGGAAUGUAAAAAUCUGUCGUAAGGGAAGAAAUGUUUCGGAUGUUAAUACCAUCUGUUACUGACGGUACCUUACAAGAAAGGACCGGCUAACUUCGUGCCAGCAGCCGCGGUAAUACGAGGGGUCCUAGCGUUGUCCGGAUUUACUGGGCGUAAAGGGUACGUAGGCGUUUUAAUAAGUUGUAUGUUAAAUAUCUUAGCUUAACUAAGAAAGUGCAUACAAAACUGUUAAGAUAGAGUUUGAGAGAGGAACGCAGAAUUCAUGGUGGAGCGGUGACAUGCGUAGAUAUCAUGAGGAAAGUCAAAUGCGAAGGCAGCCUUCUGGCUCAAAACUGACGCUGAGGUACGAAAGCGUGGGGAGCG
rnacentral:rRNA from 1 species